AGCGAACGCUGGCGGCAGGCCUAACACAUGCAAGUCGAACGAACUCUUCGGAGUUAGUGGCGGACGGGUGUGUAACACGUGGGAACGUGCCUUUAGGUUCGGAAUAACUCAGGGAAACUUGAGCUAAUACCGGAUGUGCCCUUCGGGGGAAAGAUUUAUCGCCUUUAGAGCGGCCCGCGUCUGAUUAGCUAGUUGGUGAGGUAAAGGCUCACCAAGGCGACGAUCAGUAGCUGGUCUGAGAGGAUGAUCAGCCACAUUGGGACUGAGACACGGCCCAAACUCCUACGGGAGGCAGCAGUGGGGAAUCUUGCGCAAUGGGCGAAAGCCUGACGCAGCCAUGCCGCGUGAAUGAUGAAGGUCUUAGGAUUGUAAAAUUCUUUCACCGGGGACGAUAAUGACGGUACCCGGAGAAGAAGCCCCGGCUAACUUCGUG
rnacentral:rRNA from 1 species